GAUGAAGAACGUAGCGAAAUGCGAUAAGUAAUGUGAAUUGCAGAAUUCAGUGAAUCAUCGAAUCUUUGAACGCACAUUGCGCCCGCCAGUAUUCUGGCGGGCAUGCCUGUUCGAGCGGCAUUUCAACCAUCAAGCCCCCGGCUUGUGUUGGGGACCUGCGGCUGCCGCAGGCCCUGAAAACCAGUGGCGGGCUCGCUGUCACACCGAGCGUAGUAGAUUUUCAUCUCGCUCAGGGCGUGCUGCGGGUUCCGGCCGUAAAAAGCCUUAUUUACCCAAGGUUGACCUCGGAUCAGGUAGGAAGACCCGCUGAACUUAAGCAUAUCAAUAAGCGGAGGA
rnacentral:misc_RNA from 1 species